rnacentral:lncRNA from 1 species
UUUGAUGCGACUCGUAAUUAUUAUCAACUUUCAACCCCAAAAUUCAUCAACUUUUAUAAAAUUUACAGAAAAAAUAUGACAUUUAGCUCUCAACAUAUCCUCUUAAGUAACAAGUUGUUCAAAUAUUGCAAACCUCAUUACAGGAAUUGCAAAAAAGGACAGCUUAUCCCAGUGAUGAUAGAGAAACCACAUGCACAGAGAGUAGCAAGCCGUGCUAUUAUACGGUAGAGAUUUUAGAAUGUUUUACAAAAUAAAAUGUCUGGUUAUGCCGAAUGAAAAGAGUAUAAUGAGCCGUGUUCUCUAUAUUGGCCAUUUACGGCAGAUAAAAGUGUGGGGAUUUUAUUGUAUUCGAGAUUUGCACAACAGCAGCGGAGGAAGUAGAGACAGUUGAAUUAGCGAAUCCUGAUGAUGCUGCAGUAGAAAAGAGUAGCCGUGGAGGAACCCCAUUGAAGGGGCUUUGCAUCGGCAAUGCCCAGUUUGCUGAUGAAUUGACUGCCAUACUCUUCCCUAUUGCCUUUCCCUGCAAAAUUCAAAGUUAACGAGGGGGGAUUUAACCAUUCCAGUCAAUGAUCAGAAAAAUAUAAUUCAGUACUUUAAACAAUUGUAAGGAUAUAAAACUUUAAUUUGUUAGAUAGAAAAUGCUCUGAUCAAAAGUAAUCACAACCAUAGCAUAAGAAGCCUUGUUUUUCUUUUGUGCCAAUUUUAAACUACGUAGUUGUAGAUUGAAAUGUCGACCCAGAUUUGACCAUGUUAAUGAUGAAGAUCAACGAAGGAGGUAAGCGAGAGCUACAUCAGUAAGUUUAGCAAGUAGGCUAGUAUGUAUGGUGGAAAUCCCCAUCAGCCACUAGAUCUCCAUUAGACACAGCAAGAAAAAUAGGAAUCGGAUUGUAGAAAUUAAUGGAUGAAUUACCAGGAAGCAAGACCAAUAAUGAUAUUAAGAUCACAAAGAAUGAAUACAAUAUAUUACUUCGUACAAUGGAACAACAAAAGACACUAGACAGAAAAGAUUCACCUUAUANNNN